rnacentral:rRNA from 1 species
UACAGAGGGUGCGAGCGUUAAUCGGAAUUACUGGGCGUAACGGGUGCGUAGGCGGAUAGAGAAGUUGGAUGUAAAAUCCCCGGGCUUAACCUGGGAAGGUCAUUUAAUACUUUCUGUCUGGAGUAUAGUAGAGGGGAGUGGAAUUUCCGGUGUAGCGGUGAAAUGCGUAGAUAUCGGAAGGAACACCAGUGGCGAAGGCGACUCUCUGGGCUAUUACUGACGCUGAGGCACGAAAGCGUGGGGAGCAAACAGG